AUCUAUUGCUACUAUCCCUUUAGACUACAAAGAAUGUCUCUCGAUGUGAGUGAUGUAUAGAGAAGACUGCAACCUUAGUCUCGUUCUAACCUUGGUAAGGAUGAUCUACAGUUCUAUUGGGGAGGCUCACGGAAUCUAGACAACACAAAGGAUGUUCGACCCGCACCUAUAAACCUACCCGUCCUGCUAACGAGAUGUGAUCUGCAAAGGUAACUCGGAAAUGUCACGUUCCUCGCUACUACCACGGUCCAGCUAGUCAGGGGAUAUCUAUGAGUACCCUAGCCUAAACACCACGUUUACGCUAACAAGUGAUUACUCUAAUACUCAACCGGAAGAGGAUUAAAGUAAACUCAUAAACCAAAGAACAAUAAAACAAGAACUUACUAGUAUUAGAAGUUGAAUUACUGAAGAAUCUUAGAAGCAAGCCUCGGGUUAGGAGACUUGAUCCCGCAGGUACAACUCGGAGUAGACACCGACAGGACGGCCUUCCUCCGAUCCACACCUCCACUCUAUCUCUCUCAAUCUAGUAGAAACUAUAAGAUCUAUUUCUACUUUACAUUGGAUGCUAAGCCUAAAAAGAAAUAUUAUUUAGAGAAGAGGUUUUCCUUCAAGGGCACCCCUCAAUCUCUAUGAUAAUUUCUUGUCUCCUCCAGGGGCCAGAGGGGGUCUCCUUAUAUAGUCCUCCCCUUCUAUGCGUUUUUGGGUUGAUAGGCGAGGUGGUACUAUGUUAUUCUAGAUCCAAUAGGUCGGUGGAACGUCGUGUGCGAAGAGAGUCUGGAACGGAGUCCAGAGGGGGGUCUGCUGCCCAGGUCCUCAGGGCAGGCGCCCUGGGCCUGGCCCCUUUCGGGCUCCGCUACCUUCCCGUGGCUUCUGGAGUCUUCUAGAUGGUAGAAAAUUGCGCGGUGGGUUGAUAUCUCUAUGUAAUCCCAACAUGUGGGCCUUUCUUCCUUAUUUCCUGAUAACCCCCUGGAGAAAUAGACAAACACCAAAACCCGUGGAAUUCUGUCAGAUAAAACCCUAAGUCUAGAUGUUGAUUUCAUUUGGAUCCUUUUCUUUGUUUAUUUGAUAAGUAAAUUUGAUACUUAAGGACCGUCAACAAACUCCCCCAAGCUUACCUCUUGCUCGUCCCUGAGAAAGGAUAGACUCAGCUAUGGAUCAUAAAUUGUUGCAAUAUUUUUAAAAAUUGAUGUACACAUGCUUUUUAAAUAAGAUCUCAUCUCUGAGUUAGAGUAAACUGUCAAGACUUAAAACUUACUUACUUUACCUUUACCAUGGGACUUGUCACUGUCACUUCUGUCUUGAGUGGUUAAAAGAUAGAACAGUCUAGCCAAGUGCCAUGUCUCUUAUUCUUGAUCAGCUAUAGCUCUGGGGUUUUUGCAGAUUUUCAAAUAAAACUCAGAAAUUCCUUGUAUGAUUCUCUCAGGUCUCUCUUUUGUGGUAUUUUUGGAUCCUUACCAAGGCAGUGAUGGUAUAUGCCUUCUCUCAAAAUAUGUAGUAUUUGUGGUAUGAAGCAUAGUGACAUUGUCUUCUCUCUCACCCUACUCUAAUAAGGCUUUAAUAUCUGGAGCUCAUAGGUGGGAGAUAAAGUAUACAUACUUACAAGACAUUUAUUGCAUAGUCAAACCAUGGAUCCAAAGAAACAAAUCAAUAAGCCAAAUCAAGAUGUGCAUGUGUGGCGAAUGAAUGGUGUAUGGUGAUGAUGGUGAUAACAAUGGUGGUGGAAGUCUAAUUCUACUUUGCUCUUUGAGGGGAUACAUACCUUCCUUGCUUUUGAAACUUUAUGAGAAGAAUGAGAUGCUCUUCUUUUUCUUUUCUUUCGAGGUUCCGAGCACUUGGUCCUUUUUAUUUCCUCGUAUAUUAUUAUUUUUUUUCUCUUUUUUUUCUUCUUUUUUUUCUCUUUUUUUUUACUAGAGCACUCAUCUCCUGAAAUAAUAUAGCAAGUGGUAGUAACCAAAAUAACUGGAGCAUUUAUUUCACAGGGAAUAACAGGGAUAGGAAAAUGUUUUUGGCUAUUCUCUCCCGGAUUAGGAGUAGAAUAAUUUUGGGUAAAACUGGAGAUAGAAAUGAGUGGAUAUAUGUGGAUGGUACUUCCAGAGUAGAAGUAGCAUGUAUGAGUGAACGUGCAAGUGAAUCUUGAUUUUAACCACAUGACAAGCUCCUAAGGGUCUACACAGCUUGACCACACUCAAUGCUCAUAAGCAGUAAAUAGUAGAUGUGUGGCUCAAAGUCUAGCAAGCAUGUAUAUAUGGCCGUGGUAGGAAUUUAAACUCUCAUCAUAUAGAAACUCAUCAUGUGAUAUUUUAAAGAUUUUUCAAAGAUAAAAUUCUCCAGAAUUCUAGCAUCUCUAGGAACAGAUAAACAGCAGCUCAACCUUCCCGUAUCAUAUCCGUUAACAACUUAGACUUUUGAUCAGGUACUCUUCCCACAAGUUUAGGUUUAGAGCAAAUCUUAAUUCAUAACAGUCAUGCCUAAACUUGAGAGAGAUUUCAAUUUUAAGAACUAGUCAUGGCAGAGCAACUAUUCAUCAUUUCCAUGUGAGAGUUUAUCAUGAGGGUUCAUAGCAAACUUUAUUUAUUUAUUUAGCAAACUAAGCAAAGAUAUAUAUAAAAACACAAAAUCUUUAUUUGGGUUUUUUAUGAUUAUGCAUCUUUUUAUUAAUUGAGUAAAGUAUAAACACAAGUAGAAACACUUAGCUGGAUAAAUGGGGGUGCUCUCCCCCAAGCUGGAUUUUGACGUAAUUUCUUCUGAUGUAGCUAGCAGGUGAUGGAGGUGUAUUUGAAAGUCGGCAGCACCCUGACAGCGAUUAGGAUGUCCUCCGUCUGCUAGUCUUCUUUGAUCCUUGAAUUAUGUGGAGCUCAAAUAGACAACAAAGCUUUGUGCAACUGGUUAAGUGUUAGCAUAAAUAUCUAGCCUUUAUCAUGUUGAGCCUCCUCAAUAAAUAUUACUUAUUUAGCAGGAUCAUGCACUUAUUAUUUUUAUAUUUUUAUUGUAAGAUGAAAACAUAUUUAUUUUAUUUUUAUGCCACCACAGUGAAUGUACUUAUGGGUUUUAUGCCAUGAGCAUUCUCACAUGGGGCUUACUAUUUUUUUAACAUUUUUAUUUUCUUUUCAAGAUAGCAUGAACCUGAUUAACUAAGCAAACUAUAAUUUAAUAAUUGAAAGGAAAAGGAUAACUACCAAGUUUACCUCUUGGCAAGGCGUUCGGUGUUUUUAAGCCCUCCGAACGGGACUCUCCGUUUUCUCAGUCGUCCUGGGAUUCGCUAGGUGGCGUAGUCGGGGGUUCCGGCGGCGCCUCCUCUUCGUGUAUAACUAUCUUCUCUUUCCAUACCUGACUCGGUGCUACGGUCUCCUCAGGACAGUUCUGUUCAAGUUGUAUGUCUUCAGUCCUUAUCACUUCUCCUUCGUAGUCUACCCAUCCGUCCGAUUUGCCUCCUCUGGUUGCGGUUUGUCUUCUUCUUGUCCUGACCUGCUUAGAAUCUUCAACUAUAUAAUCAUUAAAGUAGUGGCGUACCUUUCGCAGAGGGGAAGUGCAUGUGGACUUCUCCGGUUCCAAUAUAGAUAAUGGCUUUGAUAGUGCUGAGGAACGGUCUUCCAAGGAUGGUGGAUGGAUCAUACUCAUCUUCUCCUAUGUCAAUGACCUGAAAAUUGUUUGAAGCUGAAUGUAUCUUGGUUGUAGGGGCAUGGUUCCAUGCAGGAGCUGAUAAGUGACUGCGGCCAUUAUGUUGUCGUCAGAUCCGGUGUCGUAGAGUGUCUUCUAAAAAGAGUAUCCAUUGUUUGUGCAUUCGAUUCUUGGAACACCAGGGUCGUCCUUCUUGAUCAAGAAAGGUGACUUGAGUCGACGAUCUUGACCUCCUUGAGCUGCAGUGACCAUCUCAGCUGACUCGGUCCACAUUUUCUUGUUCUUGUUCCUCCUGUUGGUCCUCUUCCUUGGUUCAUGUCAGGAUUGCUCUGAAGUUUGUGUAGUCUUGUUCUUGAAGGAAAGUCUCCUUCUUCCCCUUGAUGUAGAGAUUGAUCUUGGCAGCAUUUGCGUAGAUGACUGCUCUGGUGUUUAGGAAUGGCCUCCCUAAGAUGAUGGGUGCCCUCUCCUCACUACCAGUCUCUAUCACCACGAAGUUUGCUAGAGCGUACAAGGUACCAACUUGGACACAGAGGUUCUUCACUAUUUCCUUUGGGAAACUAAGUGUCUGAUCUCCAUUGUGUUUGUGCUCGUAGAUCCUGGUUCUUCACUUAGUGGAAUCUGGGAGUUGUAAAACUCCUCCAGGUUUUGUUCGAAGUGUACCUGCUCAUAGAGACAAGGCAGAGAUCAAGUGCAUGGGCUCUGUUGGUGGAAAACACCAACACAACCAAAAGUGUAUUUGUUCUUCUCUAACCUUAAGCAUAGUGAGCAAGACAAAGUUGAUGGAUCAUGAGUGUAGCAUUUGUCAGAUCAGAUGGCUCAACCUAAUGGAAAGAUAAUCUAUCUAUAUUAUGUUUUGUUUAUAUCUUCCAAAGAUUUAAAUGUGCAACAUAUUAGCUUAUAUGAUUAGGAGUGUGGGAUCACGAAGGUAGUACUAAGAACAAAGAUUAAAGGACUAAACAUGUUGAAUUAAUUGAGUUGGUUAAUUUGGAGCUACAAAUCAUACAUGUUUGUCUCUUUAUUUUUGUGAAUGCCAGAACCAAGGAGAACUUAUAAAAGUGAUAAUCAAGUACUUUAAGAUGUUAUUGAAGAGUGAUGGUAUAGUAUCACCUUGUGGAAGCUUUCCUUUCUUAGCGGUUGUGCAUCGUGUUUGUGGCACCCUCCAUGAAUCAUCUCUUAUGAGCUACGUCUUUCUUGUGCAAAUUGUUAAACUUCAUGUGUCUCCUUUAUCUCCAAUGAGUUUGUAUCUCAGGACUUCCCAGGUUAAUAUUGAAAGUUUUCCUACAGGGGUUAGUCAGACAAAAUAUCCCAUAUCUACUAUAGCAUACUAUCGGCUCAAAAAUCAACCUAGACACCAUAUCUAAUUUGAUUUAGGAGGGCAUUUUAACCUAAGCACCAUGCUUAAUAAAAAAAUCCUUUGGAAGUAAGAUCAUCAUUCCUAAACUAAGCACCAUGCUUGAUUUAAGAGAUAAAUGAAACUACUCCAAACCUAGACAUAUACUAAAGCAAAUAAAGGUAGCAUGAGAGCAUUUAUAGCGAUCUACUCAAGUGGAGGUGAAGUAGUGUAAUUAGUACUUAACAAAUUGAGCAUCUCUCAAAGGUAGGGACAACCCACGUAGCAACAUGGCAAAGGAUGUUUUUAUGUAAAGUACUCCCCAAGCUUGAAUUUUGCAAAAUUCAAGUUUGGAUGAAUUUAAUUCAAUGUUGUGUGAUGGUUGGUUGGACAUACCUUGUGCUUGUCAUUCAUCCGAUCUUCUUGCUCCAAUCCUGGAAAGGUUAGUGACAAGAAUACCCGAAGGAAUAUUUCUACAAUUAUCUUUAUAUGCUCAAUACACAAGGCAAUGUUGCAAAUAAUUAGAAGUGCUUGUUUUAGGACACUAAGCUUGUCCUUGGGAAACCAUCAAUUAACUCAACGAGAUCUGCAAUAUUUAUUAUAGACAUAUGCAUCGACAACCGCUCUUUUAAAGUUUUUAUAAAUAGAAAAGAAGAGAGGGUUGGAGAUCUCAAAUGUGAUAAGGAUGGAGAGACUAAUUGAUUGGAGAGAUGUUUUAUAUGAGCAAGGACUGGGUAAGGUAUUUAUGAAAUAACUUCCAUGCUCACUGUUGUUUCUCUCAUUCUCAAACUCCAAGGAUGAUUCUUCAUGAAUGCUUAAAAUUCCUCUAGGAUUGUCUCUCAAAUUUGUUUUAUCUAUCCAUUCAAUGGUAAUAGCACAUGGAAUUUUAAUGCCCUUUAGCCAUUGAUGUUGCUCUUCUCGAUCCUCCUUCUUAUGCAUGGGAUGUCUAGAGAGAUUCAUAGGAUUAUCGGGAGGUUUAAGAGACAGAGCAUAGUAGAAUUUAUUAAGCUCAAGGAUGGGUUGGAUAGCCGAAUUAUGGGAUUGAAAUGUUUGGAAAUCGGCUAUUGAAACUUCCUCUCCUUGUAUGGGAGAUGAUUCCUUCUCUAUCUCUAAGAUUUUUCUAUGAAGACUAGUACAAGAAGGAUGUCCACGAAUGAAGACAUACCUUCCUUUACUAAUAGAUAAAGAAAGAAGGACUCUACCAAAGGUUAUAUGAUUAAGACCAAUGUGAAAAUAUUUAGGAAAAACAUGGUCUUGUAGGGCUAGGUCUAAACCAGAAUUUAUAGAAAUAUUAAAAGAUUCCCUAGGUGUAGCUAAAAGUGCAUUAUCUUCUUGAUUAAAAGAUAGGAUCUCAGCUAUAGAAAAGGGUUGGUUUUGACCUAUUGCAAUCAACUCCAGACACAGAUCAUAAUUAGGGGCAGGACGUGUUGACUCCCAUGGUCUAUGGCUGGUCUCCGAAGGUGCAAGAAUUUAAUAAUAGGUAUGAAAUUUAAGUUAUCCAUAAAGAUAAUAAUAAAAAGAUAAAAGAAUAAAAGUAUAAAAGUAUAAUACAAGAUAAUAGCAAGACUCAAAGUUAUCUCAGCAAACCGUCUUUCUCCCCGGCAACGACGUCAGAAAUGCUUGUUGAUAUUUGGUAACGCAAUAAGGAAAUGAUCCGCAAGCACACGGAUAUCGGUGAGCAUUUCACCCGGGAGGUUAUCCAGAGUUAUCGUAUUUAUAUUUUUACCACUGGGAGAAAGGGUGCAUCUGACUAACCAAAUCUAUUGCUACUAUCCCUUUAGACUACAAAGAAUGUCUCUCGAUGUGAGUGAUGUAUAGAGAAGACUGCAACCUUAGUCUCGUUCUAACCUUGGUAAGGAUGAUCUACUGUUCUAUUGGGGAGGCUCACGGAAUCUAGACAACACAAAGGAUGUUCGACCCGCACCUAUAAACCUACCCGUCCUGCUAACGAGAUGUGAUCUGCAAAGGUAACUCGGAAAUGUCACGUUCCUCGCUACUACCACGGUCCAGCUAGUCAGGGGAUAUCUAUGAGUACCCUAGCCUAAACACCACGUUUACGCUAACAAGUGAUUACUCUAAUACUCAACCGGAAGAGGAUUAAAGUAAACUCAUAAACCAAAGAACAAUAAAACAAAAACUUACUAGUAUUAGAAGUCGAAUUACUGAAGAAUCUUAGAAGCAAGCCUCGGGUUAGGAGACUUGAUCCCGCAGGUACAACUCGGAGUAGACACCGACAGGCCGGCCUUCCUCCGUUCCACACCUCCACUCUAUCUCUCUCAAUCUAGUAGAAACUAGAAGAUCUAUUUCUACUUUACAUUGGAUGCUAAGCCUAAAAAGAAAUAUUAUUUAGAGAAGAGGUUUUCCUUCGAGGGCACCCCUCAAUCUCUAUGAUAAUUUCUUGUCUCCUCCAGGGGCCAGAGGGGGUCUCCUUAUAUAGUCCUCCCUUCUAUGCGUUUUUGGGUCGAUAGGCGAGGUGGUACUAUGUUAUUCUGGAUCCAAUAGGUCGGUGGAACGUCGUGUGCGAAGAGAGUCCGGAACGGAGUCCAGAGGGGGGCGGGCGCCUAGGUCCUCAGGGCGGGCACCCUGGGCCUGGCCCCUUUCGGGCUCCGCUUCCUUCCCGUGGCUUCUGGAGUCUUCUAGAUGGUAGAAAAUUGUGCGGUGGGUUGAUAUCUCAAUGUAAUCCCGACAUGUGGGCCUUUCUUCCUUAUUUCCUGAUAACCCCCUGCAGAAAUAGACAAACACCAAAACUCGUGGAAUUCUGUCAGAUAAAACCCUAAGUCUAGAUGUUGAUUUCAUUUGGAUCCUUUUUUUUGUUUAUUUGAUAAGUAAAUUUUAUACUUAAGGACCGUCAACAGCCUUCUCUCAAAGUAUGUGGUAUUUUUGGUAUGAGGCAUAGUGAUAUUGCCUUCUCUCUCACCCUACUCUAAUAAGGUUUUGAUAUCUGGAGCUCAUAGGUGGGAGACAGCUAAUACAUACUUACAAGACAUUUAUUGCAUAGUCCAACCAUGGAUCCAGAAAAACAAGUCAAUAAGUCAAAUCAAGAUGUGCAUGUGUGGCGAGUGAAUGGUGUAUGGUGAUGAUGGUGAUAACAAUGGUGAGAGUCUAAUUCUACUUUUGCUCUUUUUAGGGGAUACAUACCUUUCUUGCACUUUGAAGCUUUUUGAGGAGAAUGAGAUGCUCUAUAUAUUUUUUUUCUUUUCUCUCAGGUGGGUGUCCUGUACCCCUAAUUCUACUAUCGGACACUUGUCCAUUUUUACCUCUCGUCUCACUUUUUCUUUUCUUCCGAGGUUCCGGGCACUUGCCCCUUUUUAUUUCCUCGUAUCCUUUCUCUAUUUUUUUUUCUUUUCUUUUUUUAGAGCACUCAUCUCCUGAAAUAAUGUAGCAAGUGGUAGUAACCAAAAUAACUGGAGCAUUUUUUUCACAGGAAAUAACAGGGAUAGGAAAAUAUUUUUUUGGCUAUUCUCUCCUAGAUAGGAGUAGAAUACUUUUGGCUGAAUCUAGAGAUGGAAUUGAGUUGAUGUAUGUGGAUGCGUACUUCCUGAGUAGAAGUAGCAUAUAUGAGUGAACGUGCAAGUGAAUGUUGAUUUUAACCGCAUGACAAGCUCCUAAUGGUCUACACAGCUUGACCACACUCAAUGCUCAUAAGCAGUAAAAAGUAAAUGUAUGGUUCUUAGUCUAAUAAGCAUGCAUAUAUGGCUGUGGUAGGAAUUUAAACUCUCAUCAUACAGGAACUCAUCAUGUGUUAUUUUAAAGACUUAAAGAUAAAAUUCUCUAGAAUUCUAGCAUCUCUAGGAACAGAUAAACAACAGCUCAACCCUCCCAUAUCAUAUCCGUUAAUGACUUAGACUUUAGAUCAAGUACUCUUUCCAAAAGUUCAGGUUUAGAGCAGGUUUAAAUUAUAACAGUUAUGCCUAAACUUGAGAGAGAGCUCAAACUUGAAAACUAGGUACAUGGCAGAGCAACUAUUUAUCAUAUCCAUGUAAGAGUUUAUCAUUUAAGUUCAGUUUGGCCUAGACACUUUAUUUAUUUAUUUAGCAAACUAAGCAAAGAUAUAUAUAUAAGCACAAAAAAAAUCUUUAUUUGGGUUUUCAUGAUUAUGCAUCUUUUUAUUAUUUGAGCAAAGUAUAAAUGUGACUAGAAACACUUAGCUGGAUAAAUGGGGGUGCUCUCCCCCAAGCUGGAUUUUGACGUAAUUUCUUUUGAUGUAGCUAGUAGGUGGCGGAGGUGUAUUUGAAUGUCGGCAGCACCCUGACAGCGAUUAGGAUGUCCUCCAUCUGCUUGUCUUCUUUGAUCCUUGAAUUCUGUGGAGCUCAAAUAGACAACAAAGCUUUGUGGAACUGGUUAAGUGUUAGCAUAAAUAUCUAGCCUUUAUCAUGUUGAGCGUCCUCCUAAUAAAUUUUAUUUAGCAGGAUCAUGUACUUAUUAUUUAUAUUUUUAUUGUAAGAUGAAAACAUAUUUAUUUUAUGCCACCACAGUCAAUAUACCUAUGGAUUUUUAAACCACAAGUCUACUCACAUGGGGCUUACUAUUUUUAACAUUUUUAUUUCCUUUUUUAGAUGAUAUGAACCUGAUUAACUAAGCAAACUAUUUUAAAUAAUUGAAGGGAAAAGGAUAACUACCAAGUUUACCUCUUGGCAAGGCGUUCGGUGUUUUUAAGUCCUUCAAACAGGACUCUCUGUUUUCUCAGUCGUCCUGGGAUUCGCUGGAUGGCGUAAUCGGUGGUUUCGGCGGUGCCUCCUCUUCGUGUAUAACUAUCUUCUCCCUCCACACCUAACUCGGUGCUACGGUCUCCUUAGGACAGUUCUGUUCAAGCCGUAUGUCUUCAGACCUUAUCACUUUUCCUUUGUAGUCUGCCCAUCCGUCCUUGAUGAUUUGCCUCCUCUGGUUGCGUCGUCUUCUUCUUGUCCUGACCUGCUUAGAGUCUUCAACUAUAUAGUUAAGUUUAGUAAAAUAGUGGCGUAGCUUCUUAGAGGGGAAGUGCAUGUAGACUUCUUCGGUUCCAAUAUAGAUGAUAACUUUGAUAGUGUUGAGGAACGGUCUUCCAAGGAUGGUGGGUGGAUCAUACUCGUCUUCUCCCAUGUCAAUGUCCUAAAAAUCAUCUGGAGCUUGUUGACACCGUUUUUGGGCACGUGUCUAGGAUGGCAGGAUAGGGUGGCAGUACGAUGCGGGUUGCCGAUGAGGAUGGUUGCCGAUGAGGGAGAGGUUGAAUGUG
rnacentral:lncRNA from 1 species